GAUGAACGCUGGCGGCGUGCCUAAUACAUGCAAGUCGAGCGAACGGACAAGGAGCUUGCUCCUUUGAAGUUAGCGGCGGACGGGUGAGUAACACGUGGGUAACCUACCUAUAAGACUGGAAUAACUCCGGGAAACCGGGGCUAAUGCCGGAUAACAUGUUGAACCGCAUGGUUCAACAGUGAAAGACGGUCUUGCUGUCACUUAUAGAUGGACCCGCGCCGUAUUAGCUAGUUGGUGGGGUAACGGCCUACCAAGGCGACGAUACGUAGCCGACCUGAGAGGGUGAUCGGCCACACUGGAACUGAGACACGGUCCAGACUCCUACGGGAGGCAGCAGUAGGGAAUCUUCCGCAAUGGGCGAAAGCCUGACGGAGCAACGCCGCGUGAGUGAUGAAGGUCUUCGGAUCGUAAAGCUCUGUUGUUAGGGAAGAACAAAUGUGUAAGUAACUGUGCACGUCUUGACGGUACCUAACCAGAAAGCCACGGCUAACUACGUGCCAGCAGCCGCGGUAAUACGUAGGUGGCAAGCGUUAUCCGGAAUUAUUGGGCGUAAAGCGCGCGUAGGCGGUUUUUUAAGUCUGAUGUGAAAGCCCACGGCUCAACCGUGGAGGGUCAUUGGAAACUGGAAAACUUGAGUGCAGAAGAGGAAAGUGGAAUUCCAUGUGUAGCGGUGAAAUGCGCAGAGAUAUGGAGGAACACCAGUGGCGAAGGCGGCUUUCUGGUCUGCAACUGACGCUGAUGUGCGAAAGCGUGGGGAUCAAACAGGAUUAGAUACCCUGGUAGUCCACGCCGUAAACGAUGAGUGCUAAGUGUUAGGGGGUUUCCGCC
rnacentral:rRNA from 1 species